rnacentral:rRNA from 1 species
UACGGGGGGAGCAAGCGUUGUUCGGAUUUACUGGGCGUAAAGGGCGCGUAGGCGGCGCAACAAGUCACUUGUGAAAUCUCCGGGCUUAACUCGGAGCGGCCAAGUGAUACUGUCGUGCUAGAGUGCGGAAGGGGCUACUGGAAUUCUCGGUGUAGCGGUGAAAUGCGUAGAUAUCGAGAGGAACACCUGCGGCGAAGGCGGGUAGCUGGGCCGACACUGACGCUGAGGCGCGAAAGCUAGGGGAGCGAGCGGG